rnacentral:rRNA from 1 species
AAUGAACGCUGGCGGCGUGCUUAACACAUGCAAGUCGAACGGUGAAGCAGGAGCUUGCUCUUGUGGAUCAGUGGCGAACGGGUGAGUAACACGUGAGCAACCUGCCCCUGACUCUGGGAUAAGCGCUGGAAACGGCGUCUAAUACUGGAUAUGUGAUGUGACCGCAUGGUCUGCAUCUGGAAAGAAUUUCGGUUGGGGAUGGGCUCGCGGCCUAUCAGCUUGUUGGUGAGGUAAUGGCUCACCAAGGCGUCGACGGGUAGCCGGCCUGAGAGGGUGACCGGCCACACUGGGACUGAGACACGGCCCAGACUCCUACGGGAGGCAGCAGUGGGGAAUAUUGCACAAUGGGCGCAAGCCUGAUGCAGCAACGCCGCGUGGGGGAUGACGGCCUUCGGGUUGUAAACCUCUUUUAGCAGGGAAGAAGCGAAAGUGACGGUACCUGCAGAAAAAGCACCGGCUAACUACGUGCCAGCAGCCGCAGUAA